rnacentral:tRNA from 1 species
GCCCAGGUGGCGGAAUUGGCAGACGCGUACGCUUGAGGUGCGUAUGCCGAAAGGCGUAGGGGUUCAACUCCCCUCCUGGGCA